CGUCUUUUGAAUAUAUAGAAGAUAUAACCUGCCCACUGAAAAUUGAAGGGCCGCGGUAUUGUGACCGUGCAAAGGUAGCAUAAUCAUUAGUCUUCUAAUUAAAGGCUGGAAUGAAUGGUUGGACGAGGUAAAAGCUGUCUCACUCAAAAUAUUUAAAAUUUAACGUUUUAGUGAAAAGGCUAAAAUGAAGUUGGAGGACGAGAAGACCCUAUAGAGCUUAAUAAUGAAAUUAAAAUGUAAUUUAGAAGAAGUGUUAUUUUUAAUUAAUUUAUUUUGUUGGGGUGACAGGAAAAUAAAUAAACUUUUUUAUAGAGAGUACAUAAAUGAAUGGGUAUUUGAUCCGUUAUUAGCGAUUAUAAGAUCAAGUUACCUUAGGGAUAACAGCGUAAUCCUUUUUGAGAGUUCAUAUCGACAAAAGGGUUUGCGACCUCGAUGUUGGACUAAGAAAAUAUUUGGGUGUAGAUGUUCAAAUGUUAGGUCUGUUCGACCUUUAAAUUCUUACAU
rnacentral:rRNA from 1 species